ensembl:snRNA U6 U6 spliceosomal RNA
GCUCCAAAAAAUGAUACAGAGAAGAUUAGUAUGGCCACUGAGCAAGAAUAACAUGCCAAUACAUGAAGCAGUCUAUAGUUUU